AGAUGUUGAACGUGAAGGAUAACGUUGCGUCAGCAACGGCCCGUAGGGCGAGGCGAAGCCGAGUUAUCCUGCACGACCCACCA
rnacentral:sRNA from 1 species